UGGGGAAUAUUGCACAAUGGGCGCAAGCCUGAUGCAGCAACGCCGCGUGAACGAUGAAGGUCUUCGGAUCGUAAAGUUCUGUUGCAGGGGAAGAUAAUGACGGUACCCUGUGAGGAAGCCCCGGCUAACUACGUGCCAGCAGCCGCGGUAAUACGUAGGGGGCUAGCGUUAUCCGGAUUUACUGGGCGUAAAGGGUGCGUAGGUGGUCUUUCAAGUCGGUGGUUAAAGGCUACGGCUCAACCGUAGUUAGCCUCCGAAACUGGAAGACUUGAGUGCAGGAGAGGAAAGUGGAAUUCCCAGUGUAGCGAUGAAAUGCGUAGAUAUUGGGAGGAACACCAGUAGCGAAGGCGGCUUUCUGGCCUGCAACUGACACUGAGGCGCGAAAGCGUGGGGAGCAAACAGG
rnacentral:rRNA from 1 species